CUGGCGCCUAUGAAUACUCUCAUUCAUCUUCUCUCCGGCCCGUUUUCACCUUCGAGAUCCCACGCUCCUUCUGCCGCUUCAAUUCCCUCUUGCGAUCCGGCCAGAUCGACCAGGUUCAUGGACAAAAGCGCGGCGGGAAGUCAUCGGCGAGGCAGAUAUCAGACACGGAGAUGUUCAAGUACCGCGGCUGCUCGUGGCCGGAGAUGGUGGGGAUGGAGGUGGACGAGGCGGAGCGGAUCAUCAAGCAAGGUAAGCCGGACCUCUAUGUCAGCGUCGUCCCGGAGGGGCAGAUGAUGACCAUGUGCUACUCUUGCUGCCGCGUCCAGCUCGUCAUCAACAAGUGCAACCGCGUCCUCCAGGUUCCCCAUGUCGGAUAAUUAAGUUAACCGGAGGAGUCAUUAAUGACGUACCAGGCUCUUUGUAAUGGUACCGAGACUAUGCUAUGAUAUUUUUAGCUCUAUUAACGUCGGCACACUGUUCGUCAGGA